CACCACUUAGCAUGGAAAUUGGUGUCCGUAUUUGCCAUGGACGGCAAUUUCUUGCAGCGAGAAACACUGCUGAUCCAAUCCGCAUUUGGCGC
rnacentral:tRNA from 1 species